UUCUUGAAAGUUAAUUAAGUUGGCGGUAUUUUAGUCUUUUCAGAGGAACCUGUUCUGUAAUCGAUAAUCCACGAUUUUAUUUACUAGAAUUUUUAAUUUAUAUAUCGCUGUAGUUUAAAUAUUUUUAUUAAAAUUUAAUAUUAAAUAUAUAUAUAUAUAUAUGUAUAUAUAUAUGAAAAAUCAGGUCAAGAUGUAGUUUAUAUUUUAGAAGAAAUGGGUUACAUUUAUGGGAGUAUUGAAUUUUUUUUUGUGAAAUUGAAUGAAAAUGGAUUUGAUAGUAAUUUUUUUAGAUUAAAAAAAUGAUUUAAGCUCUAAAAUAUGUACAUAUCGCCCGUCGCUUUCGCUUUAAAGUGAAAUAAGUCGUAACAUAGUAGAAGUACUGGAAAGUGUUUCUGGAAUUCAUACUAAAGCUUUUAGAAGCAUUUUAUUUACAUUAAAAAGAUUAUUAUAAUAAUAUAGUUUGAUAUUUUUUUUUUAUUAAAAAUUAUAUUUUAGAAAUAAGUCUUUGUUUUAUUUUUUUAAAAAAAAUUUUGUUUAUUAUAGUUAAUUAGUAUUGUGAGAGAAUAAUUUUUUUAUUAUAAAAAAAUAUUUAAUUUUUUGUACCUGGGGUAUCAGGGUUUAUUAAAUAAAAUUUAAUUUAUUUAAAUUUCUCGAAUUUAAAAGAGUUAAGAAUUUAUAGAUUUUAUUGUUGAAAAUCUAUUAAAAAUAAAUUUUUUGAAGUGAAAUGCUAAGCGAUUUUAAGUAUAUCUAGUUUUUUUAGAAAAAAAUUUAAUUUUAUAUUUUUAUAAUUAUAAAUCUAAUUAAGUAGUUUUAUCUUAGAAAAUAUUAAUAUUUUAAGGGAUGAGCUUUAUAAUAGAAUAAUAUAAUUAAUUGAUGUAUUAAAAUUUGUAUAUAUACAUAAAAUUGAAAGUUUUUAUAUUAAUGUUUUAUAACUAAGUAUAUUUUAUAAGUAAAAUUUUUAUUUAAUUUAUAUAUUUUAUAAAAUUAUAUAAGUAAAUUUAAUUAUUUAUUGAAAUUAUGAUAAAAUUAGUAAAAUAGAAAGUUUAUUUUUGGAUAUUAUAAAGGUUAUUUAAAGGAAUUCGGCAAAUAAUUUUCCACCUGUUUAUUAAAAACAUGGCUUUUUGAGGUUAAUUUAAAGUCUAGCCUGCCCAAUGAAAAUUUAAAUGGCUGCAGUAUUUUGACUGUGCAAAGGUAGCAUAAUCAUUAGUUUCUUAAAUGGAAGCUUGUAUGAAAGGUUGAAUGAGAAAAUUACUGUCUUUAAGUAAUUUUUUUUGAAUUUUAUUAUUAAGUAAAAAAGCUUAAAUAUUUAUAAAAGACGAGAAGACCCUAUAGAGUUUUAUAAGUUUUGUAUACAAUUUAAAUAAGUAUAUUU
rnacentral:rRNA from 1 species